AUUUAUAUAAUUUAAUCAGAAUGUUGUGUUGAAGCCACAACAGUGGUUGUAUACCUGUAAAUA
rnacentral:tRNA from 1 species